GUUAGGGUUCUAGGCUCUCUUCUCCCACAGGGUUCUAGGGGUUAGGGUUCUAGGCUCUCUUCUCCCACAGGGUGAGGUUAGGGUUCUAGGCUCUCUUCUCCCACAGGGUGAGGUUAGGGUUCUAGGCUCUCCACUCCCACAGGGUUAGGGUUCUAGGCUCUCCACUCCCACAGGGUUAGGUUAGGGUUCUAGGCUCUCCUCUCCCACAGGGUUAGGGUUCUAGGCUCUCCUCUCCCACAGGGUUAGGUUAGGGUUCUAGGCUCUCCUUUUCUAGAUGUGCAAUCAUGUUAACAUUCCAUUCUUCCAGUCCUAUUGUUUCAGCUGUACCAGUAAACAUGACUUAUUUUAUUAUUAUUUUAUAUUUUUAUUGUGUAUGCGUUCUGAUGUGCGUGUAGAACCACUAGUCAAAGGGUGUAAAAUGUGAAAUAUGGAAAUCCAUGUUGUUUUUUUUGCUUUUGCAUUUUCCCUUUUUCAGAUGUAUUAUGUUUGAUUUUAGGAGACAGUCCAACACAAAAACAAACUUUUGUACAUAAUCCUGUAAAUGUCUUUAAAUACUUGAGCCUUUUCUGGGGUGAAGGAAGGAAUGAUGCCUCUAAAGGUUUUAGCGGAAGCAAGGGAGGAAGUGCUUGAUGAAGAAAAAGCCUUACGUUUCAGUUUCUUCAUGUGUGUGAGUUUGAUGCUUACAGGGUUGCUCUGGUUACGUGUAUACAUCUAAGUGCUGCUUACAUCAGUGAGAAAGAUAUGGAGUAGCAAUGGCCCCCUAUUUUAUUUUUAUUUUUUAGCUUUACUUUUUUAAAGAAAAGGGAAAAUAUGUUAAUAAAAAAAAUUGUUUUAAAUUUUCAUUACUGAAAAUUCAACAAUGUAGUAGCUCAUGUUGCACUGAGCUUGCCAGUGGUGGCUGACAAGGUGAUCCUAUUAUCAAGUUUGUUGGUUGUUGUCCUUUACAGAAGACUGAAUUGUUUUAGGAGUAUUUAAUGAAAACCAAGUUGGGUGUUUUCCACAGAAAGUGGUUGUCAAGUUUUUAUGGCCUUACAAUGUAUUUUAUUCAGAAUUUUUUUUUUUUUGCAUUUUCUUUUUCUACAGUAUAAACUAUUGCUCACGGUCGGUCUGGCAAGUUAAUUUAUUAGCGAUGCGUCUCCAACUUUCCUUCCACUUGGAAAGAUUUCAUGUUGGUUAUAUUGCCAGUUUUUUUUUUUUUACAUUUGCAGUUUGUACUAAAGGUUUAAUAAAAACGUACAGACAAUUCACCGUCUUUUCUUUUGUACGUGUAUGUCCG
ensembl:lncRNA